CAGCCGCCGCGGUAAUACGAAGGGGGCUGGCGUUGCUCGGAAUGACUGGGCGUAAAGGGCGCGUAGGCGGCAUACACAGUCAGAUGUGAAAUUCCUGGGCUUAACCUGGGGGCUGCAUUUGAUACGUGUAGGCUAGAGUGGGGAAGAGGGUUGUGGAAUUCCCAGUGUAGAGGUGAAAUUCGUAGAUAUUGGGAAGAACACCGGUGGCGAAGGCGGCAACCUGGUCCUUGACUGACGCUGAGGCGCGAAAGCGCGGGGAGCAAACAGGAUUAGAUACCCCUGUAGUCCCUGUCUCUUAUAC
rnacentral:rRNA from 1 species